ACUGACUCCAUUGUAGUGAAAUGGCAUGAAAUGUGGGACAUUUAUUGGCACCAAACCGCUGAAGUUAUGUAGCACUAAAAUAAACAUAAUUUGAAAACUUUAAUGUUUUUUAUAAAAUUGGUCAGUAAAAUACCCAUACUUCAUGUGUGAAUAAACAUUUCAGCUGCUGUCAUGGGCGAUGAAAUCCGCCAAUAAUUUCCAAAAUCCCUUUGAAAUACGUUGGGGUCUGGUGCUACCCCAGACAGAAGCAGUGUUACCAGGGUAUAUGGCAUAAUUUUAUUUUUUUUAAAUGUUUUUUGAUCCCUUUAGGUCAGGAUAGUACCCAUACUUCAUCAUGAAUUUCGCUGAGGUCUUAGUAGUGGUAGAUGUCUUUGGUCAGCAUUAGGGCUAAAUGAUUAAAUAUGGAUUUUUUUAUUGAUCUCAGUGGUUUAAGUAUAGAUUAUGUAUUUGCUUAUGUUCUUCUAUUUCUCAGUAAGUAUUGUCCACAUUGUUUCCAUAAGGUUACCUUUACUCCUCGUAAAGGGAUUUUCCUGAGAGAAACUGCAUUGCUGGUCGUUCCUUAUCCAUUUGUUAUGUGGACAUAACAUUAUGUAUUAUACUUUUCUGCUUAUAUUUUCUUUGCUGAUACGGUGUACUAUAUUGGGAAAACAUCUUCAACAUCAUGGAUAGAAUUUAACCCAGGCAGUGUUAACCUCACAACUGCACUCAACACUGAUUACUGUCAAACUUCAAUUAUUUUAUUUCAUUCUCAGGCCCUGCCGUCACGUGCCACGUGAGAGUGUGGGGCCUGAGAACAGUGCUGCGAGUAUGCAGCAGUAUGCUAUUGGGGGUACCUUCUUUCACCUAGGAGCCUGCACGCCCAAAGAGUCACGUUGACCAAUCACAAUUACGCUCAGGGGACUUCUCAGACUCAGGAGGAGGUUCACCGAAAGAUAAAACCUUACCCACACGAGGUUGGUGGAUGGAUUAAAAACCCUGGGGGUUGCAGAAGCCAUCGAGAAGCACCCAGAAGCAAUGAAACCUGUCUUCGUUGGUGGCCCAAAAGCUCUUGAAAUGCAGGACCUCCUGGACCUCUUCAGUGUUUGCUUCUCAGAUCCUGGGAGCAACAGGAGGAGACUAGGGAACCGAGCCAUGAUGUUCUGGAAAGAUUGGCUGAUUGAGGUGGAUGAGCAGUGGCUCCCAAGCCCCGGACCGUGGACCGGUACCGAGCCGUGGGUCAUGUGGUACCGGUCCUCGGGCUGCACAGAAAAAAUAAAAAACUUCGGUCACGUGAUAGUUAAAGCUAAAAAUAGUCCCACAAGCUAGUAAGAUGUUACCCGUGUUAUGUUGUUGGCUCGAUGUUAUGAGGAUGCUGUUAAUAAAGCUGCGAAUACA